GCUGGCUAGAUGUGGAAUCCAAUGGAUUACAUAAAAAAAAAAUUAGUCUAAGACUUUUUGAUGAGAUCUUGUUGAACCUAAUUGAAUAAGAAUUUAGUUAAAAUCUUAAUAGAUUUAGGUCAAGCAUGCUAGCACAUGUUUAAACCCUAAUCCCCAAUCUAUUUAGAUUCAUAUUGCCAUUGGGCUUUGAUUAGUCAAAGACUAAAUCUAUUUAGACUCUUAAGCCACUUUUGAAUAAGUCAAAGGGUUAUCUAAGAAAGAGUCCAAGCCUCUUAGGAGUUCUCCA
rnacentral:lncRNA from 1 species